GUGAUUUUACGCCAUAGAAGAAGUUUUAGUUUACUCCUUUCUGUACCACGAAUUUUUCCAGAAAUAAUGUUUCCAACUUAUUUGAUAGACAAAAUAAUCCAAAAAUUAUAAAAUAAUAAUUGCCGUCCGAUUGUGACAAUUGAAAUAUUGGAAUUAAUUGCUAUCAGCAUAGAUUGAUCCACGACAUUCUAAAAUUGUGGUAAAGCAAUUUGAAAUUCAAACUUGAAUCAAGAUUGAGUUAAACGAUUUAACUUCAAACGCUCAUACCAAUUACAACAUCGUGCUUCGACGUAAUCGUGCCAUUAAUAAUUACAGAAAUCGAAUGAUACAAAGAUGCGCAAAGAUCAAAGGGUCCAAUAUCAACGUUAAUGUGAAAAAAGGUCACGAGUGUAUUAAAUCAUUCAGACUCAAACAUUGCGGAAAGCCUUUUGAUAUCUCGCAUGAAAUGUUAAAACUGUAUGAAUGCAAAAUAUGUCACAUAAUAUUCGUUUUUAAAACUAAUCUUCUAAAGCAUGUAAAAACAGUACACGAAAAGUUAAAACCGUAUGAAUGUGAUAUAUGUCACAAAACAUUCGCACGAAAAAAUCUCCUUGAGAAUCAUGUCAACGUAGUGCAUGAAAAAGUAAAGCCUUAUGAAUGUGGAAUAUGUCAUAAAUCAUUUGGACAAAAAAAUGAUCUCAAGAUACAUAUUGAUGCAGUGCAUAAAAAAUUGAAGCCUCAUGAAUGUAAAACAUGUCACAAAACAUUUGGAGACAAAACUAAUCUUCUAAAGCAUGUAAAAACAGUACACGAAAAGUUAAAACCGUAUGAAUGUGAUGUGUGUCAUAAAACAUUCGGACGAAAACAACACCUUGAGAUACAUGUCAAUGUAGUGCAUGAAAAACUGAAGCAACAUGAAUGUGGAAUAUGUCAUAAAACAUUUGGAAAGAAAACUAAUCUCUUAAAGCACGUAAAGACAGAGCAUGAAGAAUAAGAGCCUCGCUACAAAAUUUUCAAACAAAAAUGUUAUCUUUGGCAUUAGGUUCAAAACCAAAUCUUUUCAAACAUAUUAAUAUGGUGCUUAAAAAGACAUACAGUCGUUAUGUAAAAUAGAUAAUGAAAUUUUCUCAAGAUAAUUUUGUAAAGAUAAACAGCUAAUAGAGUAAGAUCAAUUUAACAAAUGUUAAUUAUCAUCGAAACAAUAAGAAACACCUCAUAAUAAGACGUGAAAAUAGUAAUUAUCAAUCAAAGUCACAUUAGAGCGUUUGAAAGGGAGUCACAAGCAUAGCA